rnacentral:rRNA from 1 species
UCGGGAAUAUUGCGCAAUGGAGGAAACUCUGACGCAGUGACGCCGCGUAUAGGAAGAAGGUUUUCGGGUUGUAAACUAUUGUCGUUAGGGAAGAAAAAGACAGUACCUAAGGAGGAAGCUCCGGCUAACUACGUGCCAGCAGCCGCGGUAAUACGUAGGGAGCGAGCGUUAUCCGGAUUUAUUGGGUGUAAAGGGUGCGUAGACGGGUAAACAAGUUAGUUGUGAAAUCCCUCGGCUUAACCGAGGAACUGCAACUAAAACUGUAUAUCUUGAGUGCAGGAGAGGUAAGUGGAAUUCCUAGUGUAGCGGUGAAAUGCGUAGAUAUUAGGAGGAACACCAGUGGCGAAGGCGGCUUACUGGACGGUAACUGACGUUGAGGCUCGAAAGCGUGGGGAGCAAACAGGAUUAGAUACC